GAACGCUGAAACCGGAGCUUGCUUUGGUGGAUGAGUGGCGAACGGGUGAGUAACACGUGGGUGAUCUGCCCUACACUUUGGGAUAAGCCUGGGAAACUGGGUCUAAUACCGAAUAUUCACACCACCGUAGGGGUGGUGUGGAAAGCYUURUGCGGUGUGGGAUGAGCCUGCGGCCUAUCAGCUUGUUGGUGGGGUAAUGGCCUACCAAGGCGUCGACGGGUAGCCGGCCUGAGAGGGUGUACGGCCACAUUGGGACUGAGACACGGCCCAGACUCCUACGGGAGGCAGCAGUGGGGAAUAUUGCACAAUGGGCGCAAGCCUGAUGCAGCGACGCCGCGUGGGGGAUGAAGGCCUUCGGGUUGUAAACUCCUUUCGCUAGGGACGAAGCCUUAUGGUGACGGUACCUGGAGAAGAAGCACCGGCUAACUACGUGCCAGCAGCCGCGGUAAUACGUAGGGUGCGAGCGUUGUCCGGAAUUACUGGGCGUAAAGAGCUCGUAGGUGGUUUGUCGCGUCGUCUGUGAAAUCCCGGGGCUUAACUUCGGGCGUGCAGGCGAUACGGGCAUAACUUGAGUGCUGUAGGGGAGACUGGAAUUCCUGGUGUAGCGGUGAAAUGCGCAGAUAUCAGGAGGAA
rnacentral:rRNA from 1 species